UAUUAAGAUAAGCUAUUUAAGCUAAUGAGUUCAUACCUCAUAAAAAGAGAAAUCUUCUUGAUAU